CUUCAGGUGCUCUGUUUAGGCAGAGUUAAACGGGAAGUUGGUGACAAAUCCAACACUGCCCCCGCAACGGUAAGCGUUGAAAAGCACAUCAUUAAGCCACUGCGAAUCUCGUGGGAAGGCGAUGUGUCAGGCAUAGCCACAACGUAAGUCCGGAGACCGGCCUGAGGUUUCA
rnacentral:ncRNA from 1 species